rnacentral:tRNA from 1 species
UAAGAGAUGGUGUAGUGGAUGCACUUGAAGUUUUGAUCUUCAUUGGAUAGGUUCAAGUCCUAUUUUUUUAG